rnacentral:rRNA from 1 species
AACGAACGCUGGCGGCAGGCUUAACACAUGCAAGUCGAACGCCCCGCAAGGGGAGUGGCAGACGGGUGAGUAACGCGUGGGAACGUGCCCUUCGCUUCAGGAUAGCCUCGGGAAACUGGGAGUAAUACUGGAUACGCCGUAUUGGGAAAGAUUUAUCGGCGAAGGAUCGGCCCGCGUUAGAUUAGGUAGUUGGCGGUGUAAUGGACCACCAAGCCUACGAUCUAUAGCUGGUCUGAGAGGAUGAUCAGCCACACUGGGACUGAGACACGGCCCAGACUCCUACGGGAGGCAGCAGUGGGGAAUCUUGGACAAUGGGCGCAAGCCUGAUCCAGCCAUGCCGCGUGAGUGAAGAAGGCCUUAGGGUUGUAAAACUCUUUCGCCGGAGAAGAUAAUGACGGUAUCCGGAGAAGAAGCUCCGGCUAACUUCGUGCCAGCAGCCGCAGUAACAC